AAAAUUUUGUUCAAAACUAUUUUUCGAUGUCCCAUGCCAUAUCAGAAAAAUAGUGCAUGUUUUCUUGCCUGAAAUGGAGAAAACUCUCCAAAUUGCUUUUAAAUAAUGUCCAAUCUCAGGCCAAUAAGCACUGUAUUAAGUAGUAACAGACUGUGAGGAGACAGAGAGAGACAGAGACUCAGAGACAGAGACAGAGAUUCUAGAAUAUGCAAAGACAACAAAUUCCAGAAGGCUAUUACAAAAUGGAAGCAAGAACUAACGUCUGCCAAGGUAGAUCAUCUGAAUACCUGGACUCUCUAAGGAAUGCUCAUUGUGUUAGGUCUCUUUUUAGGAAACUCUGUGGUGUUGAGAUAGGCCACUGGGAGUUCUACUUGCAUGAUUUUACUCUGACAUGGUGGGCCGCUAUUCAGGCAGUGUCAACAUACUUGCAGUGAUGGAAGAUGUUUGGGUUUAUUCUGAGUGGAAAAUGAUGUAUUUUUGUUUGUUUGUUUGUUUAUCUGUACUUUGGAAGUCCUGAUUGAGGAGCCUGAAGAUAUCCACACUGAGCAUUGAUCUGUGCAUCAGUAAGUCUGGAUCUAAAGAGGAAGAUCCACACUGGAGCACAGGUCUUCUACAAUGUAGUCAUCGUGCCCUGUGUGGGGGCCACCAUGGGAUGGGCCCCAAGAACAUGGUGUGAACAACAACAGCAAAAAUGGUCUUGACCUCAGAGAGUUCAGGUCUACUCUGAUGGGAAAGAAAAUAUUACACAGUGCCCACCUUUCCGAUGGAGCUGAAGGAGACGGAGUCAGAGGGACUUAAAACAGUAACAACAACAACAAAGUGACAUGGAAUCCAUGAAAGGGAGUGUGACAGAUAAGCAACUUUUCAACUGUAUUCGCAUUUAUAGAGUGUUUUAGGAAGGUAAAUAUUGAAAGGAACACAACGAAGUAAAUGAAAUUAGAAAUGCACAUUUUAUUUUGUGAAAAUACAAUUUUUUGUCUGUACUAGGACUAUAUCAACCAGAAAGAUAGCUCUCCAUGAGACAUCAUGACUCUCUAAAAGAUGCUUAUUGUACAGAUGAUGUUUUUCUAAAUUUACAGAUCUUUUUCACCUUUAGUGUUUAUGCCUGGUAUACAUUUUAUCCUAUAUUAUCUUGCACUUUUAUCAUUCAUGAAACAUUCAGCAAGUCUUUACUAGCUCGUUGGUGAAAGCAAAAUGAAUACACAUUUCUCCCCAUUUGGCAGACAUUUUCUGAGGGUGUAAAUUUAAUAAAGUUAUACUGAGAACUUCUUAACUACCUCCUAUACACAAGAUAUGCACACACUGAGAGAAUGGUGCAGAUGUGUUAAUUAGUAUACAUAGAAAAGUAAAUAACAAUUCAUGGCAAUCAUUGUAUGUAGGCAAUCAGUAGGGUUUCUAUUAGAUUCAUUAGUUCUUUCAUUCACUCUUCCAAUUAUUCAUUUGAAAUAUAUCUUCACAUUUCAUUCAAAACCUAAGAUUCUCUGAUUGUAUGAUAUGAUGGCUUCAAAUCCACUCACUUGUCUAGGUUUACCUUGAACUCUUCUUUAUGAUGUGUGUGCUCUCUUUCCAAACAGCCCUAAGAAAAGAGGUCAGAGGACAUAAUUUCUCUUUCUUCAGAGGCGUAUUCUCUGAAACUCCUGGAAGCAUGCUAUGAAAGCAAGUAAUAUUCUCUCCAUAUCUACUUGCUAAAAGAAUUAGUGUAUAUAUGCACAUAAACAUACAAACAGAGAUACAUAAAUACAUGUAUUUUCUAAAUGUGGUGUCAAUAUCUCAUCAAUAUUCUGUAUCUCAUCCUGGAUUGAGUUACUUAUCCCAAGGAGUCUCUUGCUAAACUGUAGAAUAAAGUAUCACUCAGGGCAUUUUGAUAUAUCCAAAUUAAUGCAGCUAUUUUAAUGCCACCAUUUUUAUCCAGGAGGUUGUUUGUAGAAUUUUUUUUAUUUGGUCCCAUUAAAAUAUGAACUCACUGCAUUUCUUUGUUCUUAUUUAUCAGGGAGGCCACUUAAGAGAAGUCAUAAUUAUCAGCCCAUUCUUGAUCCUAUCUCCAACACAAUUCCCAUCCCUCGAGUGAGGUAGGCAAAUAAAUUUUCCCAUUGUGCCUUCAUUUGUAUUUAUGCUUAUUUCCUGUCUAUUCAAAAUUCUCCAUAUUUUCAGUCCAAAUUGCAGAAGAAGCUAGUUUGGUUGGCUUAUUUAAUUACUAUUAACUUUACUGAGUAGAGUCAUUUAUGGCUGAACAUGUUAUUGUUCAUCAUGGAAAGUAUGGCUUGGUUACCUUUCAAUAACAAAAGCAUCUGAUCCUGAUCUAAUCAGUGGCCAACUCUGCCUAUAGGAUACUUCACUACUUAUUUCAUAAGCAUUGGUUUGUGGAUAAUGCAGGUUCACAAAGAAACAGAUAUUGGGUAUAGCUUGGCUGACCAAAGGUGCUAAUUUGCCUACAACAACCCCAGUUUGCAUCCGCUGUUUAGCUCUCCCAGCUGUCUAACUCACCUAUCCUUCCUCAAGUAUUAAUGUAGAUACAGUGCCCUUUGUGUCAUUGGUUGCUAUCUUUCUAUAUGCAUAGUUUCAAGGAUGUGCCUAUCUAAAAUGAUCAAACCUACACACAAUUAUUGCCUUCCAAUAAGGAUGGAAUUCAAAGGCAUCUCUGGUUACUAUAUCCACAGAGAAUAUCACAGGCUCCUUUAAAUGCUGUUUGUCUUGGAAUCCACAGUCUCCAUAUGUUGUAUAUUUUUCCUCUAAUUCCAUCAUAAUUCCACCCAGAUGUUACCAGAUCAUCUAUAAGCUAUGGACUACAUAGUAAAUUGAGUUACCAAUACAGUUAGUGAAGAGAGGAUAAUUAGAACACAUGCAAACACUUAUGAACAAUGGCAGUAAUAACCAGGCACAGAUGAAAUCUGAAGUCCUUUUUCUACUUCACAACAGUUUAGCAGUUUUUUUGUUGUUGUUGUUGUUGUUUGUCUCUUAUUUUCUCUGUGGCAUAUUCUUAUAGUCUUUGGCUUUCACCCAGAACCCCAGUUGGCUAUAACUCUUAGUAUAAUGGUGUGAGACAAACCCCUGGUUGUUCAGAAUCCAAGGCCUUUGUGGUCUUGCCUGUGCAAUGCAGUGGUAGACUGUUGUUAACUUUUACCACUGACCAUGGUCAUACAAGAACCAUAGCAGAGAUUCCCCAAGUCCCAAAUUCACCUGCUAUGAAAAUUCACACCUAAGAUGUCUGCAUAGCAUGAUAGCACCUAUGAUCACUUGUUUCUCUAAAAUUACGGAGUUUUGAGAUUGUUAAUGUGCAGUUUUAGUUUCCAACUUAAUGAAAUGUAGGUCUUUUCUCUAGGUUGAAUGAUACUUCUUUUGCCUUUUAUAAUUGUAGAGGAGAAAAAGUAAAGAUUUUGAAAUUUAUCCAUUAAGAAUAAUCAUGAGAGAUUAAAUCCAACACCUCCAAAGCACGGUGUCAAGAUUCAAGUGUUAUUGCAGGGAAAAAAAGAGAUAAUGUUUCAGAUUGCAGACCACAUCUUAGAAGCAAGUUCAUCAGGAAAACCUCAAAAAUCCCAUUUUAAUAAAGACAUUUCACUUCUAGAGCAGUC
rnacentral:lncRNA from 1 species